rnacentral:rRNA from 1 species
UACGGGGGGGGCAAGCGUUGUUCGGAAUUACUGGGCGUAAAGGGCUCGUAGGCGGCCAACUAAGUCAGACGUGAAAUCCCUCGGCUUAACCGGGGAACUGCGUCUGAUACUGGAUGGCUUGAGUUUGGGAGAGGGAUGCGGAAUUCCUGGUGUAGCGGUGAAAUGCGCAGAUAUCAGGAGGAACACCGGUGGCGAAGGCGGGUCUCUGGGCCGUAACUGACGCUGAGGAGCGAAAGCAUGGGGAGCGAACAGG